GUAGGUGAACCUGCGGAAGGAUCAUUAUUGAAUAAACUUGGUUAGGUUGCUGCUGGUCUUUAGGGACAUGUGCACACCUGAUUCAAUUUUAACCACCUGUGCACCUUUUGUAGACUUGGAUAUUUGUCUGAGGAAACUCAGUAUGAGGAUUGCUGUGCGAAAGUCAGCUUUUCUUGCAUUCCUAGUCUAUGUUUUAUAUACCCCAAUAAGCAAGUAAUAGAAUGUAAUUAAUAGGCCUUUUGUGCCUUUAAAGCAAAUAUAACUUUCAACAACGGAUCCCUUGGCUCUC
rnacentral:misc_RNA from 1 species